UAAGAAAAAUAUGGAAAAAAAAAUUUGCUGAAAAAGAAGUCGAAGAUUCCAUCUGCACUUGACACUGUCUCGGAAAAGCCGCCAGCAUAAUCAAAGACUUGUCCCACCCCCGGUCAUUCGUUCUUCUCCCAGCUCCUGUCGGGCUGAAGCUGGAAAUUGCACACAAUA